rnacentral:rRNA from 1 species
UACGAAGGGUGCAAGCGUUAAUCGGAAUUACUGGGCGUAAAGCGUGCGUAGGUGGUUUGUUAAGUCUGCUGUGAAAGCCCUGGGCUCAACCUGGGAAUGGCGGUGGAUACUGACAAGCUAGAGUGCGGUAGAGGAGGGUGGAAUUCCACGUGUAGCGGUGAAAUGCGUAGAGAUGUGGAGGAACACCGAUGGCGAAGGCGACUCUUUGGCCUGUAACUGACGCUGAGGCGCGAAAAGCGUGGGGAGCAAACAGG